UACGAAGGGUGCAAGCGUUACUCGGAAUUACUGGGCGUAAAGCGUGCGUAGGUGGUUAGUUAAGUCUGUCGUGAAAGCCCCGGGCUCAACCUGGGAAUGGCGAUGGAUACUGGCUCGCUAGAGUGCGGUAGAGGGUGGUGGAAUUCCCGGUGUAGCAGUGAAAUGCGUAGAGAUCGGGAGGAACAUCAGUGGCGAAGGCGGCCACCUGGACCAGCACUGACACUGAGGCACGAAAGCGUGGGGAGCAAACAGG
rnacentral:rRNA from 1 species